UUUGAGGGGAUUGUUGUCUGGCUCGAGGCCACUAGAAAGCCUAGAUCUUUCUCUCUCUAUAUACAUAUCUAUAUCACAGUCAACGCAACCAUUGAUUACUGAGAGAGAUUCUUGAUCUGGUGUCGUCGGACCAGGCUUCAUUCCCCCCAAU
rfam:Helianthus annuus linkage group 13, whole genome shotgun sequence.